rnacentral:rRNA from 1 species
UACGGGGGGGGCAAGCGUUGUUCGGAAUUACUGGGCGUAAAGGGCUCGUAGGCGGCCAACUAAGUCGGACGUGAAAUCCCCAGGCUCAACCUGGGAACUGCGUCCGAUACUGGAUGGCUUGAAUUCGGGAGAGGGAUGCAGAAUUCCAGGUGUAGCGGUGAAAUGCGUAGAUAUCUGGAGGAAUACCGGUGGCGAAGGCGGCAUCCUGGACCGACAUUGACGCUGAUGAGCGAAAGCUAGGGGAGCGAAGGGG